CCAGGUGGAUAUGGACUUGGGUGUGGAAAAAAAGUACAGUAGAGUGUCUUCGAAACUGAGAUACGGCAAAGAUUCACCAAACAGGACAUAAAGUAACUAACUGUAAUAGAAAAGACUAAUCGACUGAUUUCAUGAACAUUAAGAACUUGUGCUCAUCAACUGACACCAUGAAGAGAGAGACUAGGCAGGGGCCCUGCGUGGCUCAGUCGCACACAGACUGUUUCACUC